CCUAAUCCCGCGUGAGGGAAGGAAACGGAAAGCCCACAGUACCACUUUUUUGGCGGGACGAGGACUUGCAGUGAACUGCCCGACCGGAG
rnacentral:misc_RNA from 1 species